rnacentral:lncRNA from 1 species
UUUAUUGUAAAUCUCAGUUAGAUGUAAUAACUACGUUCGUUCAUGUAGGUAUCCAUGGAAUAUUUCCAACAUCGUUUUUGCUCAAGCAUUGACAGAUUUUUGCCUUGUUAAAUCGUUGAAAAACUCUUAAGAAUUUUGUCCUUUACAAGGGAUUCCUGACAGGUAAUUUCUGAAUAUUUUGACUGUUUACGACAGAAUUUUUCAAAAGUUUGCAAUUUUUUUGAUAGCCCAGGAAGCAGAUAUAUGGUUUUGGUUCAAUUUUUGGGAUGAUUCUGGACGAUUUUUUUUGACAAGUUCCUUAAAAAUUCCAGUUUAAUUUUUUAACGGGCUCUUCCCAUUAACAACCGUUAUAUAAUCGUUUUUGAAAAUUACUUAAAGGACUUCAAGAAUUAUACAAGGUAUAGUCUUCUUCUAAAAUUAUUGGUGGGCUUCUCCAGAGUUCCAUAGUAGUUUUGUUGAAUUGUCAGUGGCGGAUUCUCAAAAAAAUUGUGCCUGGUAAGGACGUCCUUACCAUAUCAGACAAAGUAUUUUUUUUUCAAGAUCCUUGUUGGAUUUCUGGACACAAUUUUACUGAAUGUCGAGGCGAUUAUAGUAAAUACUUCAAGUAAACAAUUUCAAUAUUAUUUCAAUAUGUAAAGUCUUUGCAUAACGCAAUGGAUAUCCUUCGGUAUCAAAAAAAUAUGAUUUCUAGAACAAUAAUUUUCAGGGUUUCUUGGAAGUUUUGAAAAUCUAAAGGGGGUCGCAGCUCAAAAAAGGUUGAGAAGCACUGCUGUAAACAAUGAAACAUAAGCCGACUGUGCGAAGAUGGACAGUACUGAUUCCUUUUAAAAAUACCCUAAUGUAUGUAUAAAGAGAUGUAAUACUCCCAUAACUAUACCACAGCACAUCUUAUAAAGUAAACCCCAUGUGACUAAAUAAUCGAACAUUGUUGAAUCACAACUUGCCAGCAUGAGAGACUACAGCGCCAUAUAUGGUAGAAAAUUAAAUAGUCACCAAUCAGGACGUUUCGUCACCAGACAGACGUAAAGGGGUAUAUCAAUGUAUUCUGCACUUAUACUGUAGCUACCUAUCGACUUGUUUUGAAGGAAACAACAAUAAGCUACGAAAGCAGUAAGUUUUGCAAAACUACAAAAAAAUGCUUUACCAAUCAAUUUUCCCACAGUACGGUAAUGGUACAUUGCGAUCAAGUUCAGUUUUCAGUUUCGCUCGUUUUCCACCGUUUUUUUGUUUUUGGCGUUCCCUUCGGUCGUUGCAAUGAAUUGGAGACACUUGGAUAAAGUCGUAAAUAUGCAAUUAGCCUCAUAAAAGUUAACCAUUCUCUGAGAAUCAACUGACCUCUUCGUAUGGCAUGGCUAUACAGUAGCUGAUCUUGGAAAUGUGGUACAGAAGCAAGCCACUCGCUUUUGGAGAGAAAACUCCGGACAGGUGAAAAUAUCGAAGGCAUUUUUGAACAGCUUUUUAUUAAUUUUAUUCAUAGCGAAGUUGAAAGAACUUUCAUUUUAGCUAAAUGUUAUGUUCUAGUUGAUUUUACCAAUUCAAUACAAGUGAGAUACGUGUUUUUUUGUAUAAGACUGACUAACCUUCCACUGUACAACAUUUACUCAUCAAACCAAGCUGACCAAGAAGUUGCAGUGCAGUAGGGGUAGACGGGACAAGAUGAACACUAGGAUGAUCAAACUACAAAAACUUGAGUUACACAUCUCAUAUUUGUUCAAUUGCACCCGAGAAGCUACUGUGAAAAUAUGAGUGGAAUCCUUCAACUCCAAAGCCCCCCUUAAACGAGUUUGAAGUUUGUACACAUCAAAAAAUAAAGUGUAAUCUCACGACUUUUUAGCUGCAUAUCCGUUCCGUCGCAAAUAUGAUGUACAAUUACAUUUUUUAAGCGUAUAAAACCAGUCUAGCAAUCAAAAGAAUCGGUUUGAGAAGUUAAUGAAAAAGAUGCAAAAUUAUGACCGGGAAUUGAAACCUGGUCUAGCGAGUGAGAGUCGUAUACGAACCUAUCGGUCAUCUCACCACACUGAUGAAAGUGAGUUCAAUUUGAUACAAGUUAUGUGUUGUUACUUGGAUUAAGUUUUCAUCGAUUAGAUCCGAUUACGUUAUGAGCGGAAUAUUGUUGUAAAAUAGAUGUGAUUGAAUUCACUUAUGUUCGAUUCUUGAUACAUAACCGAAAAUUUACGUCGGCCGAUAUUAAUUUAUUUUUUUGUUGUGUAUGAAGAAAAUAAACCAAAUGUAUGGAGAAAACAAACGGUUCUAUUAACCAUAGAUGCCGCUGUAAUCGACGAAUUUCGAUGAAUUUCAUUUAGAAGACUCUUCAAUUAAAAGUAGCACACAGCAAACCAGAGGACUUUAAGAAAUAAAAAAGUUAAAACUAGGUCACUGAA